rnacentral:lncRNA from 1 species
GCGCAGCUAUGUGAGCCGCGGCGGGGCCGGGCGCUUCUCGCCCUGUUAGCCUCGCUGCUUCUCUCCGGGGCCCAGGCGGCCAGCAGAGACCUAGACGUCCACGAGAACACCAUUGAUGGUCUGGCCAGGAGCAGUGAUGGCGCUUCUGCCCUGAGCGUUCCCAGAAAGCAGGAUUCUGCGGACCUCGCUGGUGAGAUCUUCAACUAUGAAGGUAUAACUUAAUCAAUUAUGUCCUUAUGUAGUUGGGAAGUGGUUCACUAGGAGGAGCUUGUUACAGAGUCCCUCCAGACCUUGCCAGGUAGCUAUACUUUAGAGCCUCAGUGAGUAUCUCAGGCUGUUGGGAAUCCAGAUGUGCCAGGAGAGUGAAGUCAGAGGGGUAUGUGCUUCCAGUAUUUGCCUAGAACCCUGAUUCUCACUAGCUCUGAGGCUGUGGGUAGAGCUAUGCCCUGUACAUAGUCCCGAUGCCUAUGUAAGGUGAGGGUCCUAGGAUGGAUCAGAGGGCAAAGUGCCUGGGACUGCAUGGACUACAGUAACAUGGACGCGCUUAGCAACAAGUGCCUGGAUGGAGCCAGCCCCUCCCCCACUGCCAGUGGCGUGCAGCUGAGAUCCCAGCAUUUGGGCAGAAGAAAUGUUUAGACAGAAUACUGUGUCCCAAAGGCGGUCACUGGGCCUUGCCGCGCAGCCUUCCCUCGCUGGUACUAUGAUGUUGAAAAGAAUUCCUGUAGCAGCUUCAUCUAUGGCGG